AUUGAACGCUGGCGGCGGGCCUAACACAUGCAAGUCGAGCGGAUGAAGGGAGCUUGCUCCUGGAUUCAGCGGCGGACGGGUGAGUAAUGCCUAGGAAUCUGCCUGGUAGGGGGGGAUAACGUCCGGAAACGGGCGCUAAUACCGCAUACGUCCUGAGGGAGAAAGUGGGGGAUCUUCGGACCUCACGCUAUCAGAUGAGCCUAGGUCGGAUUAGCUAGUUGGUGGGGUAAAGGCCUACCAAGGCGACGAUCCGUAACUGGUCUGAGAGGAUGAUCAGUCACACUGGAACUGAGACACGGUCCAGACUCCUACGGGAGGCAGCAGUGGGGAAUAUUGGACAAUGGGCGAAAGCCUGAUCCAGCCAUGCCGCGUGUGUGAAGAAGGUCUUCGGAUUGUAAAGCACUUUAAGUUGGGAGGAAGGGCAGUGAGUUAAUACCUUGCUGUUUUGACGUUACCAACAGAAUAAGCACCGGCUAACUUCGUG
rnacentral:rRNA from 1 species